CAGCAGCCGCGGGAAUACGUAGGUGGCAAGCGUUGUCCGGAAUUAUUGGGCGUAAAGCGCGCGCAGGCGGAUCAGUUAGUCUGUCUUAAAAGUUCGGGGCUUAACCCCGUGAUGGGAUGGAAACUGCUGAUCUAGAGUAUCGGAGAGGAAAGUGGAAUUCCUAGUGUAGCGGUGAAAUGCGUAGAUAUUAGGAAGAACACCAGUGGCGAAGGCGACUUUCUGGACGAAAACUGACGCUGAGGCGCGAAAGCCAGGGGAGCGAACGGGAUUAGAUACCCGCGUAGUCCCUGUCUCUUAUACA
rnacentral:rRNA from 1 species